rnacentral:rRNA from 1 species
CACACGACUCUCAGCAACGGAUAUCUCGGCUCUCGCAUCGAUGAAGAACAUAGCAAAAUGCGAUACCUAGUGUGAAUUGCAGAAUCCCGUGAACCAUCGAGUUUUUGAAUGCAAGUUGUGCCCGAGGCCUUCUGGCUGAGGGCUUGCCUGCCUGGCCAUCACGC